rnacentral:misc_RNA from 1 species
GGCUAAUCAAGGUGUCCUGCUCUGGUGGAAGUGGAAUACCAGGUCCAGCUAUUGUCUUGGGCAGUGGGAUUUUGUUCCUGUUUCUAGCCAAUUCCAGUAAAACCUCUCUUGGUGGUGGUUGUGAGAAGCUGAAAUUUACUUUCGAUUGAAUAGCAAGCUUGACAUCAUCACAAUCAAUUGCAGAUUUGCCAGCAUGCUCACAAUAAACCUGUGCAUCUGUCAACACAUCAACAAC